UAACAUUUAUAUAUGCAGAUAAAGGAUAUUUCUAAAACAGUCUUAAUGUAAGAAUCUGUGUGAAGCGUGAGGUUCACAUAGAUAUGUAGAAGGGGGCCUUAAUUAUCAUACAUAAGGUGAUUGAUUGGAAUCUUUAUAUUUUGUUUAAAUUUGACAAUUUGACCCUGACCCAUAGCUGUGUGCCAUAAGUCUAGAUAGGAGUGAGAAGUUGCUUAUAAAUGAGCAGCUUGGUAUUGAAGUUGAGUUAAGAAUGAUUACCUAACAAAUAAAUUUUAUUUUUUUUAUAAAUAUGCGGUUUUCGACUCUCAAUUUGUUCGCG